GUGGGGAAUAUUGGACAAUGGGCGAAAGCCUGAUCCAGCCAUGCCGCGUGUGUGAAGAAGGUCUUCGGAUUGUAAAGCACUUUAAGUUGGGAGGAAGGGUAGUAACCUAAUACGUUGCUACUUUGACGUUACCGACAGAAUAAGCACCGGCUAACUUCGUGCCAGCAGCCGCGGUAAUACGAAGGGUGCAAGCGUUAAUCGGAAUUACUGGGCGUAAAGCGCGCGUAGGUGGUUCAGUAAGUUGGAAGUGAAAUCCCCGGGCUCAACCUGGGAACUGCUUUCAAAACUGCUGAGCUAGAGUACAGUAGAGGGUGGUGGAAUUUCCUGUGUAGCGGUGAAAUGCGUAGAUAUAGGAAGGAACACCAGUGGCGAAGGCGACCACCUGGACUGAUACUGACACUGAGGUGCGAAAGCGUGGGGAGCAAACAGGAUUAGAUACCCUUGUAGUCC
rnacentral:rRNA from 1 species